rnacentral:rRNA from 1 species
CUCGUAGGUGGCCAACUAAGUCGGACGUGAAAUCCCUCGGCUUAACCGGGGAACUGCGUCCGAUACUGGAUGGCUUGAGUUUGGGAGAGGGACGCGGAAUUCCAGGUGUAGCGGUGAAAUGCGUAGAUAUCUGGAGGAACACCGGUGGCGAAGGCGGCGUCCUGGACCAACACUGACACUGAUGAGCGAAAGCCAGGGGAGGCAAACG